rnacentral:sRNA from 1 species
GCUGUGUGCUGUCGCAUUCCUGUAAUCCCAGCAACUUGGGAGGCUGAGGCAGGAGGAUCUCAAGUUCAAAGCCAGCCUCAGCAAAAUCGAGGUGUUGAGCAACUCAGUGAGACCCUGUCUCUA